rnacentral:rRNA from 1 species
AUACGUAGGUGGCAAGCGUUGUCCGGAAUUAUUGGGCGUAAAGCGCAUGUAGGCGGUGCCUUAAGUCUGUCGUGAAACUGCGGGGCCUAACCCCGUAUGGCGAUGGAAACUGUGGCACUUGAGUGCAGGAGAGGAAAGGGGAACUCCCAGUGUAGCGGUGAAAUGCGGAGAUAUUGGGAAGAACACCGGUGGCGAAGGCGCUUUUCUGGACUGUGGCUGACGCUGAGAUGCGAAAGCCAGGGUAGCGAACGGGAUUAGAUACCCCGGUAGUCCUGGCCGUAAACGAUGGUUACUAGGUGUGGGAGGUAUCGACCCCUUCCGUGCCGGAGUUAACGCAAUAAGUACCCCGCCUGGGGAGUACGGCCGCAAGGCUUAAACUCAAAGGAAUUGACGGGG